rnacentral:misc_RNA from 1 species
GUAGGUGAACCUGCGGAAGGAUCAUUAAAUUCAGUAGUUUACUACUGUUUUGAGGGAAGCGGAAACUCGCUCGGCUGCUUCGGUAUGCCUGGCUGAGGAGUACGCCCCCUCUUUACACCCUUGUCUUUUUGCGUACUCAUGUUUCCUCGGCGGGCUUGCCCGCCGGUUGGACAAACAAUAACCUUUUUAAUCUUCAAUCAGCGUCUGAAUAAUUAUAAUAAUUACAACUUUCAACAACGGAUCUCUUGGUUCUG